rnacentral:tRNA from 1 species
GCGCUCGUAGCUCAGCUGGAUAGAGUACUCGGCUACGAACCGAGCGGUCGGAGGUUCGAAUCCUCCCGAGCGCGCCA